rnacentral:rRNA from 1 species
GACGAACGCUGGCGGCGUGCCUAAUACAUGCAAGUAGAACGCUGAAGGAGGAGCUUGCUCUUUCCGGAUGAGUUGCGAACGGGUGAGUAACGCGUAGGUAACCUGCCUGGUAGCGGGGGAUAACUAUUGGAAACGAUAGCUAAUACCGCAUGACAACAGUUAUUGCAUGAUAGCUGUUUAAAAGGGGCAACUGCUCCACUACCAGAUGGACCUGCGUUGUAUUAGCUAGUUGGUGAGGUAACGGCUCACCAAGGCGACGAUACAUAGCCGACCUGAGAGGGUGAUCGGCCACACUGGGACUGAGACACGGCCCAGACUCCUACGGGAGGCAGCAGUAGGGAAUCUUCGGCAAUGGACGGAAGUCUGACCGAGCAACGCCGCGUGAGUGAAGAAGGUUUUCGGAUCGUAAAGCUCUGUUGUAAGAGAAGAACGAGUGUGAGAGUGGAAAGUUCACACUGUGACGGUAUCUUACCAGAAAGGGACGGCUAACUACGUGCCAGCAGCCGCGGUAAUACGUAGGUCCCGAGCGUUGUCCGGAUUUAUUGGGCGUAAAGCGAGCGCAGGCGGUUAGAUAAGUCUGAAGUUAAAGGCUGUGGCUUAACCAUAGUACGCUUUGGAAACUGUUUAACUUGAGUGCAAGAGGGGAGAGUGGAAUUCCAUGUGUAGCGGUGAAAUGCGUAGAUAUAUGGAGGAACACCGGUGGCGAAAGCGGCUCUCUGGCUUGUAACUGACGCUGAGGCUCGAAAGCGUGGGGAGCAAACAGG